rnacentral:lncRNA from 1 species
CUGUGGAUCAUGUGUUUGCUUUGCUCAACCUGACACUCUCAGAGGAUCACUGAGGGACACACUACUGGAAGUUCAUCCAACUGGGAUACUUGCUGUCCCCAGGGUGUGGGAGAAAUUCAAAGAAGCAGCUGAAACUCAGUUUCAGUCUAUUAGUGGAGUCAAGAAGUUUAUAAUAAGGAAAGCAAUGGAAGUUGGUCAAUGAAGUCAAGAGAAUAAGAUAAACAGAAACAAUCAAUCUGUGUUUGGAUAUGGACUGGCCAACAGACUUGUUUUUAAAAAUUUAAGAGAGAAACUUGGACUCGAUCAAUGCAGAUUCUGUAUUUCAGGGGGUGCCCCUUUACCUAAAGCAGUAGUUGAUUUCUAUGCUGGUUUUGAUAUAGCUCUAUUGCAGUUGUAUGGAAUGUCAGAGACUUCAUCAGUAGUAAC